GCGUCUUUAGCUCAGCAGAUAGAGCACCUAGCUCUUUACUAGGGGGUCCGGGGUUCAAGUCCUUGAAGGCGCACCA
rnacentral:tRNA from 4 species